GACGAACGCUGGCGGCGUGCUUAACACAUGCAAGUCGAACGGAAAGGCCCUGCUUUUGUGGGGUGCUCGAGUGGCGAACGGGUGAGUAACACGUGAGUAACCUGCCCUUGACUUUGGGAUAACUUCAGGAAACUGGGGCUAAUACCGGAUAGGAGCUCCUGCUGCAUGGUGGGGGUUGGAAAGUUUCGGCGGUUGGGGAUGGACUCGCGGCUUAUCAGCUUGUUGGUGGGGUAGUGGCUUACCAAGGCUUUGACGGGUAGCCGGCCUGAGAGGGUGGCCGGCCACAUUGGGACUGAGAUACGGCCCAGACUCCUACGGGAGGCAGCAGUGGGGAAUAUUGCACAAUGGGCGGAAGCCUGAUGCAGCAACGCCGCGCGCGGGAUGACGGCCUUCGGGUUGUAAACCGCUUUCGCCUGUGACGAAGCGUGAGUGACGGUAAUGGGUAAAGAAGCACCGGCUAACUACGUG
rnacentral:rRNA from 1 species